rnacentral:rRNA from 1 species
CCUACGGGUGGCUGCAGUGAGGAAUAUUGGUCAAUGGUCGCGAGCCUGAACCAGCCAAGCCGCGUGAGGGAAGAAGGUACUAUGUAUUGUAAACCUCUUUUGUCGGGGAGCAAAAGCUGCCACGCGUGGCGUUCCGAGAGUACCCGAAGAAAAAGCAUCGGCUAACUCCGUGCCAGCAGCCGCGGUAAUACGGAGGAUGCGAGCGUUAUCCGGAUUUAUUGGGUUUAAAGGGUGAGCAGGCGGAAUAUAAAGUCAGCGGUCAAAUUGAGCGGCUCAACCUCUUCGAGCCGUUGAAACUGGUAGUCUGGAGUUAGCGAGAAGUAUGCGGAAUGCGUGGUGUAGCGGUGAAAUGCAUAGAUAUCACGCAGAACUCCGAUUGCGAAGGCAGCAUACCGGCGCUAAACUGACGCUGAGGCACGAAAGUGUGGGUAUCGAACAGGAUUAGAUACCCCAGUAGUC